GACGAACGCUGGCGGCGUGCCUAAUACAUGCAAGUCGAGCGGACAGAUGGGAGCUUGCUCCCUGAUGUUAGCGGCGGACGGGUGAGUAACACGUGGGUAACCUGCCUGUAAGACUGGGAUAACUCCGGGAAACCGGGGCUAAUACCGGAUGCUUGUUUGAACCGCAUGGUUCAAACAUAAAAGGUGGCUUCGGCUACCACUUACAGAUGGACCCGCGGCGCAUUAGCUAGUUGGUGAGGUAAUGGCUCACCAAGGCAACGAUGCGUAGCCGACCUGAGAGGGUGAUCGGCCACACUGGGACUGAGACACGGCCCAGACUCCUACGGGAGGCAGCAGUAGGGAAUCUUCCGCAAUGGACGAAAGUCUGACGGAGCAACGCCGCGUGAGUGAUGAAGGUUUUCGGAUC
rnacentral:rRNA from 1 species